rnacentral:rRNA from 1 species
UAGGGAAUCUUCCACAAUGGGCGAAAGCCUGAUGGAGCAACGCCGCGUGCGUGAUGAAGGGUUUCGGCUCGUAAAACACUGUUGUAAGAGAAGAAUGACAUUGAGAGUAACUGUUCAAUGUGUGACGGUAUCUUACCAGAAAGGAACGGCUAAAUACGUACCA